rnacentral:tRNA from 1 species
CCUUCCGUAGUAUACCAGUACGUUUAGUUUCCACCUAAAAAGGCCUCGUUUGGCGGAAGGG